rnacentral:rRNA from 1 species
GACGAACGCUGGCGGCGUGCUUAACACAUGCAAGUCGAACGGAGCACCCUUGAUUGAGGUUUCGGCCAAAUGAUAGGAAUGCUUAGUGGCGGACUGGUGAGUAACGCGUGAGGAACCUGCCUUUCAGAGGGGGACAACAGUUGGAAACGACUGCUAAUACCGCAUGACGCAUUUUGAUCGCAUGGUCGAAAUGCCAAAGAUUUAUCGCUGAAAGAUGGCCUCGCGUCUGAUUAGCUAGUUGGUGAGGUAACGGCCCACCAAGGCGACGAUCAGUAGCCGGACUGAGAGGUUGACCGGCCACAUUGGGACUGAGAUACGGCCCAGACUCCUACGGGAGGCAGCAGUGGGGAAUAUUGGGCAAUGGGCGCAAGCCUGACCCAGCAACGCCGCGUGAAGGAAGAAGGCUUUCGGGUUGUAAACUCCUGUUGUUGAGGAAGAUAAUGACGGUACUCAACAAGGAAGUGACGGCUAACUACGUGCCAGCAGCCG